rnacentral:rRNA from 1 species
CGGCGACCGGCGCACGGGUGAGUAACACGUAUGAAACCUGCCCGUAGCAGGGGGAUAAGCGGAAGAAAUUCCGUCUAAUACCGCGUAACAACCCAUGGAGGCAUCUCUGUGGGUUUAAAGGAAGCGAUUCCGGCUACGGAUGGUCAUGCGUCGCAUUAGCUUGUUGGCGGGGUAACGGCCCACCAAGGCGACGAUGCGUAGGGGUUCUGAGAGGAAGGUCCCCCACACUGGUACUGAGACACGGACCAGACUCCUACGGGAGGCAGCAG